GAUGAACGCUGGCGGCGUGCCUAAUACAUGCAAGUCGAGCGAACGGACGAGAAGCUUGCUUCUCUGAUGUUAGCGGCGGACGGGUGAGUAACACGUGGAUAACCUACCUAUAAGACUGGGAUAACUUCGGGAAACCGGAGCUAAUACCGGAUAAUAUUUUGAACCGCAUGGUUCAAAAGUGAAAGACGGUCUUGUUGUCACUUAUAGAUGGAUCCGCGCUGCAUUAGCUAGUUGGUAAGGUAACGGCUUACCAAGGCAACGAUGCAUAGCCGACCUGAGAGGGGGAUCGGCCACACUGGAACUGAGACACGGUACAGACUACUACGGGAGGCAGCAGUAGGGAAUCUUCCGCAAUGGGCGAAAGCCUGACGGAGCAACGCCGCGUGAGUGAUGAAGGUCUUCGGAUCGUAAAACUCUGUUAUUAGGGAAGAACAUAUGUGUAAGUAACUGUGCACAUCUUGACGGUACCUAAUCAGAAAGCCACGGCUAACUACGUG
rnacentral:rRNA from 1 species